AACGAACGCUGGCGGCAUGCCUAACACAUGCAAGUCGAACGAGACCUUCGGGUCUAGUGGCGCACGGGUGCGUAACGCGUGGGAACCUGCCCUUAGGUUCGGAAUAACUCCCCGAAAGGGGUGCUAAUACCGGAUAAUGUCUUCGGACCAAAGAUUGAUCGCCUUUGGAUGGGCCCGCGUUGGAUUAGCUAGUUGGUAGGGUAAAAGCCUACCAAGGCGACGAUCCAUAGCUGGUCUGAGAGGAUGAUCAGCCACACUGGGACUGAGACACGGCCCAGACUCCUACGGGAGGCAGCAGUGGGGAAUAUUGGACAAUGGGCGAAAGCCUGAUCCAGCAAUGCCGCGUGAGUGAUGAAGGCCUUAGGGUUGUAAAGCUCUUUUACCCGGGAUGAUAAUGACAGUACCGGGAGAAUAAGCGCCGGCUAACUCCGUG
rnacentral:rRNA from 1 species